rnacentral:lncRNA from 1 species
AAUCUGCAAGCCAGCAUGCACGAGGCGUGCACACAGCGCGCACAUCCCCUCCGCAUGCACGGGACGUGCGCACAGUGAGCACUUGAUGAAUUUGCAUGUAAUAUAUGUAAUAUGUUGUCCGUAAUAGAAAAAGUAAAAAGAAAAGAAAAAGAGAAAAGUGGAAUGAAGCUUGUAUGGUCCAAAGUAUAUAUGUAUUGACAUACAUAUUGCAUCAAGUGUCUCGUUAGACUUUUUAUCUCUUAGAAGUAUCUGUUUUCCUUACCCUUCGGGGUAUCUGUUUUCCUCUCCCCUAUCUUGUUUGGAAAGACAUAAGAGAACUGCUCCUAGUGGAUGAUGACAUGCCUUCUGACAAAAAUGGUAUCACACUAUCUGUAGGGGUAACCCAUGCCUAAGUAAUGUCGUGACAUAGAUAUCUGUUAGGACUACUAUAGUUGGUACGACUAUGAUCAUACAUCGUACCAUGGUUUAGCCAGCCGGAAGUGGGUCUGAGCAGAUUGCUGUAACUAUAUCUGAUCUGGUCAUUCGACUUGGGCAGUUGAAAAUCUGUAUCUACCCUUAGAAAUGGAACUUUGUAAUGAUUUCGCGAAGCAUGACAUGAAAUAUUUGUGCAUUUCAUGAUUUAUUUGAUUUUCUCUAUUAUUUGGCAUGAUAUAUGUAUAUUUGAUU